rnacentral:misc_RNA from 1 species
AUGUCCUUCUGGUGAAACCGGGUCUUCCUUAUUUGGAUAUCAUCAGGCUUCUCAGAGAUAAAUCUCCUUUGCCAAUUGCUGCAUAUCAGGUAUCAGGUGAAUAUUCAAUGAUAAAGGCUGGUGGAGUUCUCAAAAUGAUUGAUGAAGAAAGGUUGAUGAUGGAGUCCCUGAUGUGUCUCCGACGGGCUGGUGCCGAUAUCAUCCUAACAUAUUUUGCUCUACAAGGUGCUAGAUGUUUAUGUGGUGAAAAGAGGUGAGUUGCCUUAUAUUAAAUUAAGGCUCUGAUAGUUGUGGAAAAUCCAUGGAGAACUUUCGGUUCUGUAACUAAAUAACAAUAGUGUAAGGUUUGGAAUCUUAAUUGGCGAACUUAAUAGGUCACUUUGCAGUCCAUUCUUUCACC